rnacentral:misc_RNA from 1 species
AUGCAUUUCAUUAAAACUGGACAACUGGUUGAUCUUAGCACUCGAGAAUUAGUACAGUGCUGCAAUGCAUCGAUGAUGAGUCCAACCUUUGACUGUGUCCAAAAACUAGGAGGUAUCUGUAGUGCUGCCAGCUACCCCGACUCUCACACCUGCCAGAGUAAACAAUGCACCCCUGUAGCUAAAGUGACUGGAGUUACGCAAGUAAAGAAAGGGGAUGAAGGGGACCUAAAGAUCGCCGUGUACAGACAGCCAGUGGUGACAGCGGUAGAUGCCAGUCACUCCUCCUUUCAGCUGUACCGUAGUGGGGUCUACUACGAACCCAGGUGCUCGUCAACCCGACUAGACCACGCCCUCUUGGUCGUGGGCUACGGCACUCUAGAAGGAAAGGAUUUUUGGAUCGCCAAAAACUCAUGGGGCAUUAAUUGGGGCAUGAAAGGCUACAUACUGAUGAGCAGGAACAAGAACAAUAACUGCGGUAUCGCUACUAGCGCAAUGUACCCGGACGGGAUGUGAACUUCUACCACAUUAACUUACUCAGGAGAAAUGUAACUGAAAUCAGUAUUCUAUGCCAAAUAAAACUGAUUUUCUAUG